rnacentral:lncRNA from 1 species
GACCCGCCUCACUAAGACCCGCCUCACUACGGACCCGCCCCACUACAGACCCGCCCCACUAAGACCCACCUCACUAAGACCCGCCUCACUACAGACCCGCCCCACUACGGACCCGCCCCACUAUGGACCCUCCUCACUGCAGACCUGUUCGCUCAAGUGGAACAGGCCGGUCCGGGCCCCAUCUGAGGCUGCGAGGGCCGCGGAGAUACGGAUGCUGGUCCCAGGUGCCUUCGGAGCUGGCCUAAGGUUCCACCCUGGCCCUCCCACCAGACCCCGUGUGACACAGCCUCCAGCCCUCUGUCCCCUGGGGGCCCUUCAGCUCUGGUAUUCAGUCAGAAAUCCUAACACACCUUUCUUUUGUUUAUUUAUAUUCUUUAGUUUUGUGCACACUUUGAGGAAUUGAUUUAGGACAGGUUCAUACUGAAAAAAACCUCAGCUGAUGUUAUCUGUGGGGGCUGGGGAGGGUGUCAGGGACAUUUGGUGGCUGAGGAGAGCGCGUCACUGCUAUUGAAUAGCUCCAUUUAACACCAGCCAUGUCUCCGCGUCUCAGGCACUUCUGUGAAAUGUUCUCAGAACCCUGUGGUGACUGCGGCACACCCGGCAGGCCUUGCUAGCACACGCCGCCCACUGGCAGGGCCCGGCCACCCUGGCUGUUGCCAUUCUUUCGUAGGGUUUUGUUCAUUUUACUAUUUGUCAUUUUUCUAGGAAACAUCUGUUUUUGUAAAACAAACAAGGGGGAAUCAAGUAUUUUAACCACAAAGUAUAAAUACUGGCUCUAAGCUUUCAUCACUUCAUUGACAAACUGAAUGCUGAGGAGGCUGAAGGCGAGGAGGCUUUUGCGGAUGUGGACCUUGAGCUGCGUGUUUGGGAGACGCACAGGCCUCGGGGAGACUCAAGCCAGAUGCCAGCCACGGGGACCACAGCCUUGGCCCAAGAGUGGCAUUUGUGGGAAAAAGGAAACUUCAAGAAAAACACCCCUCCUGCUUCUCUUCCAGCAGCUCGUCUCCUUCUGGAAGGAUGUGGGGAGCGUCCAGGGUAACUAAGUGCUCUGCGUCCACCAGAGUCACGUCUCCCCAGGAGGGCUGGGCCGCCUACGCCAGCACCUGCUGCACCCCCAUGUGGUCCGGGGAGCAGUGCCGGUCCCCGCAGGGCAGCUUUUUCAUCAGCCGUUGGAGCUUGCUGGGGAAGCUCUGGUUCAUGUAGCGGUAGAGAAGUGGUGUCACAAAGCUGCUGGAGAAGGCCAGGAGUUUGGAGAAAUCCUUCACAAAGUGCAGUAGCCCCAGGUAGUGUGCGUCCACGGGCUUCCCUCGCGAGAUGAUGACCGUGUGCCCCAGCAGGAUCAGAUAGUGUGGCGUCCAGAGCCCAAACUGCGUGCACACGGUGGCCACCAGCAGCCUGUGUGCCGAGGGCUCCAGCCGGCCCGUGUCCCGGUCCAGGGGCGUGUCCUCCCUGCGGACGCGGGAGAGUAGCACCAGCGCGUAGAGGGUGGCCAGUGCUGGCACCACGUAGCCGAUGAACACCAGCGUGGCGUCGGCAGCUUCUGCGUUCUGCAUCUUGGCGCACUCUAGCGCGCGGGUGGACACAUGGCUGCAGAUGUAGAAGAGCAGCGAGGAGAAGCUGGUCAGCAGCGCGCCACCCCACACGAAGCCGCACACGUGCCGCGUGUUGUACACGCUGGCCAUGUAGGUCCGCGGCAGUGCACGCUCGAUGUAGUGGUCGAGGCUCAGCAGGGCGGUGGAGUACAUGGCCACCAGUGAGGACACAUUGAAGGGGAUCUGCAGUGCCACGUGGACUUCGCCGCCCACACUCCACAGCGCCCACCGGGAGCUCGGGGGGCCGAGCAGGUGCACAGGGGCCAGGGCGCUGAGCACCAGGCCUGCCACUGCCAUGUUGACAAAGUACACGUCCGGCAUGGUCAUGCUGGCCUUGCUGUGUAGGUUGGCCAGCACCAGCAGGGCGUUGUAGCACAGGCAGCUCCUCCACCAGCCCUGUGCCGUUGAACCAGCUGCAGCUCCACAUGGCGGCCGGCGAGGCUCCGCGACCCUGCGGAAAGAAGGAACAGGUGGUCAGCUCGCGUCCCGUCCCAAAGCCCUGGCCCAGAAGUGCUGCAGGUACAGGGGUGCCUUCUCCUGGUGCAGUAAUCGCUGCAGACCACAGAGCGAGGCUGCCUUUGGUGCAUUUCUGUGAAAGUGAAGUUGAGCGUUGAAAAAUGGCCGUCUCGGGUCGUGACCGGGG